AUCACAUCACAGAGAAAUUGUUAUUGUCAGAGCACAUUGGUGAUAGAAAGCUUUAAAUUCAUGUCUUACCUAAAUCUUAUAUGUGCUCAAAUCACCACCUGUUUUAUGAUCACUGGAAUAAAUCAUUUAAUAUGUACCUGUGAAAUAUUAUGCCAGAUAUAAGGACAGUUUAUACCAGUUUAUCCCACCAGCUGAGUGUGAGAGACUCUUCUCACUAUAAUUCUUGACAGCACUAUGAACUUGAGAAAAGGAUAGUAGACAACACAAUCAAGAACCGCUCUCCGUUUUAGUUGUACAUCACUGGUAAUAGCAGUAAACUGGAACUAAUGGGAGAAAGAAAAGCUGAAACUGCAGUGUUGUAGUUAAAGUAGCUCGGACUCUUUGAGGAAAGAGCUGGAAGCAAGGAUGUUACUUGAGGCUGGGUUGGGCCUAGAAGCUCCCAGCUGGGAGGUAGAAAGUCCUCGGAGGGCAGUGUCCACCAGCUUUCUGAGCACACGCAUUGCUCUGAAUCCUGCCCUUUCACUGUCAAGAAUCCUGAGCACAUGGGGCCACACUGCACAGUGAGACCGUGUUCUCACCGACGGAACAAGCAGAGGUGGGAUAUGGCCUUUGGUUGAGAGAAAU